rnacentral:ribozyme from 14 species
AGAAAGAAAGAAAGAAAGAAAGAAAGAAAGCAAGAAAGAAAAAGAGAA